AGCAGCCGCGGUAAUUCCAGCUCCAAUAGCGUAUAUUAAAGUUGUUGCAGUUAAAAAGCUCGUAGUUGAAUUUCGGGGUCAGCAGGUUGGUCGUGCCUCUGGUACGCACUGGUUUCGCUGAUUCCUCCUUUCUGAAGAACUGUAAUGUCAUUAAUUUGGUGUUGCAGGGAAACAGGACUGUUACUUUGAAAAAUUAGAGUGUUUAAAGCAAGCUAACGCUUGAAUACAUUAGCAUGGAAUAAUGAAAUAGGACGUUUGAUCCUAUUUUGUUGGUUUCUAGGAUUGACGUAAUGAUUAAUAGGGAUAGUUGGGGGCAUUAGUAUUCAAUUGUCAGAGGUGAAAUUCUUGGAUUUAUUGAAGACUAACUACUGCGAAAGCAUUUGCCAAGGAUGUUUUCAUUAAUCAAGAACGAAAGUUAGGGGAUCGAAGACGAUCAGAUACCGUCGUAGU
rnacentral:rRNA from 1 species